GCGGCCGCGCCCGGGAGGCUGCGAGGCGAAGGCGGCGACCCAUCGCGGGUCUCCCGGAGCUCUUCCCUGACGCCGGGACCUGCGGCUGCGAAUCAAAGCUGCUUGGAAUCAGGUCUGCUCAGCUCUAAUGGCAAAGGAUGGAGCCAAAGCAUAGUCAGGACUUUCCAUGAGAGGACUAUGCAGCGUUCACACUGCUUCUGUGUGCUUUCUUCCCCAUUUCCCAGACAUCAGAGUGAGGGGAAGGAAGAGCUCAGAUGGCUGUCCACCCAGAGCUCCCCCUAACUACCCCUUUUGGCAGCUUCUGCUUUACCUUCUUCCUGUGGAAUAUCCUUCACAACAGAAUAACAUCAACCCCAGAACUCCCUAAGUAAAAGGCAUUUGGAUAAGUCGGUUGGAAUGCAUCUGAGACUCAAGAAACAGAAGGCUCAGACACUUGCCACACCGUGAAGAUUUGUCAUCUCACAUG
rnacentral:lncRNA from 1 species